CAUUGAAAAGUCAAAUCACUUGUUUGCAGAAGGGGCGAUUCUUGUAUAGGAGAAGUUGGGGUCAGGUGUGAAUAACAAAAUCGAAAUAUAUUGAUAGAUAUAUACAUUUUCACGCUGCUAGUCAAACCGAUAUAUAGAUACUGUUCAAAUCGAAGAUAAGGAGUUGAGUAACAACAAAAUCGAAGCCCUAAAAAAACCCACAAAUCGUACUGUUCAAAUCGAAGCCAAAUCCAGAUUGUUCAGUUGGAAUAAGCAGUAGAAGAAGAAAGAAGAAAAAAAGCAAAGGGAACCGCAGUUUGCCUUUAUGACAAAGAGUGAUAUUGAUCAUGUUGAAGAUGGAUAUUGAUGGAGGAAAUAUGGACAGAAAGCCGUCAAGAAUAGCCCCUAUACCAGAAGUUACUACAGAUGCACAACUCAAAAGUGCACGGUGAAAAAGUGGGUGGAAAGAUCGUAUCAAGAUCCGUCGAGUAAUCACUACAUAUGAAGGACAGAAUAAUCAUCACUUGCCUGCAAUGCUGAGAGGGAAUGUUGGUAGCGGAAUGUUGUAUCCGCCAUCUAUGACUAUGAUGGCAGCACAAAGUGCCAUGAUGUUGGGGGUUGCAGCCGCUUCGUCAAGCUUCCCUCAUCGUGAGUUUCUAGCUCAUCAUCAUCAUGCUGGGUUCUACAAUAAUUCUAGUGUUGGAGCUAGUAGUGAACCGAUGAUUAACUACCAGCAGCAGCAAACUCCAUCAUCAGUAGUAGUUCAGCAAAUUCAGAUGCAUCAUCUACUUGCUAUUAUCUUGAUUCCCUAAAGAUUAGCUGUGUCAACUAACAGUUUAAGCAAAUAGUUGAUGCGGCAAUUGGAUUGUAUGAUGUACAAAGUGGAUUCAAGAAGAAGACUAAACUCAAUUGGGUCAACUCUAAGUUGAUAUUAUCCAAAUUUUGGGAGUUAAUGCUAUAAGUUUGAAGAUAAAAGAUGGUGCUUAUAAAACUGCACCAAUGCUUUACCUUAAAGAUGUCCAGCAGGAGGAAGAUUUCUGAUGCUAUAAUAGAACCUAUCAUCACAAUACCCAUGAAUAUGAACAAUCCGAUAAAACUUUGAACAUCAAGACUUUGUGGAAGAGCACGAUUAGGUUGUGAUUUAUCAAGAGCGGAUAAUCCAAGAUACUUUCUCUUCAUUUCCAUCACAGUUUCACUUUCAGUGACAUUGAUAACUGCCUCAGAAAAGAUCUGUAACAAAGGUGAUCCACGAGCGAACGCCUGAGAUCCAUAUUUAACACAUGAAGUUAGCUAUAACUCAAUAACCAUUGUAAAAAAAGUUUUUGUUUCUAAAUCCACUUAAAUUUGUCUCAAUUGUCAA